rnacentral:rRNA from 1 species
UUGGAGGGCAAGUCUGGUGCCAGCAGCCGCGGUAAUUCCAGCUCCAAUAGCGUAUACUAAAGUUGUUGCAGUUAAAAAGCUCGUAGUUGAACUUCGGGGUCUACCCAUUGGUCAGGCUUAAUUGUCUGCACUGGUGGGAUGGAUCUCUACCUUCUGAGGAACUUUCAUGCCAUUUAUUUGGUGUGGUUGGAAAUCAGGACUGUUACUUUGAAAAAAUUAGAGUGUUUAAAGCAGACUAUCGUCUGAAUACAUUAGCAUGGAAUAAUGAAAUAGGACGUACUGAUUCUAUUUCGUUGGUUUCUAGGAUCACCGUAAUGAUUAAUAGGGAUAGUUGGGGGCAUUAGUAUUCAAUUGUCAGAGGUGAAAUUCUUGGAUUUAUUGAAGACUAACUACUGCGAAAGCAUUUGCCAAGGAUGUUUUCAUUAAUCAAGAACGAAAGUUAGGGGAUCGAAGACGAUCAGAUACCGUCGUAGUCUUAACCAUAAACUAUGCCGACUAGGGAUCGGACGAAGUUAAUUUUAUAAUGACGCGUUCGGCGCCUUACGGGAAAC